AUCGAGAUGGGACUAAGGUAUGCUAGUCGAACGACCAGAACUAUGUCUGGGAGUGGCACACUGCUCAGUAACACGUAGCUAACCUACCCUUAGGACGUGGAUACCCCCGAGAAAUUGGGGUUAAUCCGCGAUAGAUGUAAUGUCCUGGAAUGGUAUUACGUCUAAAGGUAUUUCAUACAUGUUUGAAAUAUGCCUAAGGAUGGGGCUGCGGCCGAUCAGGCUGUUGGUGAGGUAAUGGCUCACCAAACCUUUGACCGGUACGGGCCAUGAGAGUGGUAGCCCGGAGAUGGACACUGAGACAAGGGUCCAGGCCCUAAGGGGCGCAGCAACCGCGAAACCUCCACAAUGCACUCACGUGCGAUGGGGCUAUCUCGAGUGCCACCUGAUGAAGGUGGCUUUUCCUUGGUCUUCAAAGCCUUGGGAAUAAGAGGGGGGCAAGACUGGUGUCAGCCGCCGCGGUAACACCAGCCCCUCGAGUGGUGGGGAUGAUUAUUUGGCCUAAAGCGUCCGUAGCCGGCCGUGAAAGUCUUCCGUUAAAUCCAGCGUCUCAAGCGUUGGACCGCGGGAGAUACUACAUGGCUAGAGAGUGGGAGAGGUCGGCGGUAUUCUGGGGGUAGGGGCGAAAUCCUUUGAUCCCCGGAGGACCACCAGUGGCGAAGGCUGCUGACUAGAACACGUCUGACGGUCAGGGACGAAAGCUGGGGUAGCGAACCGGAUUAGAUACCCGGGUAGUCCCAGCCGUAAACGAUGCAUGCUAGGUGUUGGGUUGGCCACGAGCCACCCCAGUGCCGCAGGGAAGCCGUUAAGCAUGCCGCCUGGGAAGUACGAUCGCAAGAUUGAAACUUAAAGGAAUUGGCGGGG
rnacentral:rRNA from 1 species